GACGAACGCUGGCGGCGUGCUUAACACAUGCAAGUCGAACGGUGAAGCGCCUUCCUUUUUGGUGGGUGUGGAUGAGUGGCGAACGGGUGAGUAACACGUGAGUAACCUGCCCCCUCCUUCUGGAUAACCGCAUGAAAGUGUGGCUAAUACGGGAUAUUCUGGGUCUGUCGCAUGAUGGGUCUGGGAAAGAUAUUGUUUCGGUGGGGGAUGGGCUCGCGGCCUAUCAGCUUGUUGGUGGGGUGAUGGCCUACCAAGGCGGUGACGGGUAGCCGGCCUGAGAGGGUGGGCGGUCACACUGGGGCUGAGACGCGGCGCCGACUCCUGCAGGAGGCAGCAGUGGGGAAUAUUGCACAGUGGGCGCAAGCCUGAUGCAGCGACGCCGCGUGGGGGAUGGAGGCCUUCGGGUUGUGAACCUCUUUCGCCAGUGAAGCAGGGCUGCCUCGUUUGUGGGUGGGUUGACGGUAGCUGGAUAAGAAGCGCCGGCUAACUACGUG
rnacentral:rRNA from 1 species